CUAUCCGUUAGGUGGCAGCGCCGCACGUAAAUGUAAAGAAUGGAUGUGCACCAGAGGAAGAAUAAUCUUAUCCUGAAAAGAUACGAACAGCUCAUCACAUCUUUCUAUUCCAAAUCACAGGUCCAUCUGCAGCUCUGAGUGUCAGAGGAAGAGACAAACUGUGAUGUCAAAAAUAGACAAACAAAAAAAGGUGAUGUGCAGAGAGCCACAGUGGAGUAGAAGAGCCAGAUGUGGCUGUGGAGCCUCAUGUUGGAGACCCCGGGUCUAGAGAAAGCCUGAGACGGAGGACAGAGUGCAGACGGAGAGGAGCAGGGUGAAUACAGAUGGAGAGAAGAGGAGCUGCUUUUGAUUCUGAGAGCCCCAGAACGGGUUAACAAGGAUCACACUAGUACCACUACAUAUUUUAGCUAAUGUCUUUUUGACUAAAAGGAUGGGCAGUAAAUCUGAUCAGACAUCGAUGAGUGUCAGCAGAGAGGGAUGACCUUCAGGAUGACCAUCCAUGGAGAGACAGACAGAAAAACUCACCUGCAGGAUGACACCGUAAAUGUUUCCCAAGCGAAAACAUUCAUCAUGUUAAAAGGAAAAUCUCCAAGAGGAACAAUUCAAAUAAGUGAUUCCUAUGAAAUGCAAACCUUUUCAAGAAAGGCGUUUUAUGCUUUCUGGGGAUAUUUGAGUCAUCCAGAACUGGACCAGGGGGUUUUAGGAUAUUUCAAAUUCAAAUUUUAAUGUAAUUAUUGAACUGUUUUCCUGUCGCAGAACACCUUAAUAAAACUUGUACCCAGCAAGGACACAAACCCCCGACCUCUGCAUUGAAAGGCACCUGCGCUAAUCACUGCAUUAACAUAUGAUUUAUGUCUCACAGCAUGGUAGAUCUUUUGACAGGCAUCUCUUUAAAGAUGUCUAUUGUUAAGGGUCUAAGACGAAAAAAAUAGAUCGCCAGUGAAAUUCUUCUUUUUCGACCAAAAAAAAAAAAAAGAGCAUUUUUUUUUACCAAAAUGGUGUGUGUGUGGGGGGGGGGGUCCAGGCAAUUGAAUGUAAAUAAAACAGACAAACCUUUGCUUUGAGUCCGUUUUUUUCCUCCUCUUCUUUCCUUGUUUGACCUUAAAGUGGUCCCUGAGGGUUUGUUUUGCUGCUUUUUCAUCCUUUCAUCCAUAAAGUUAUAGAGAAGCACUGACAGAUAACAUCCCCCACCACCACCUAGCUUCAACCAGCGUCAGGCAAGGAGAGGCACAGCACCAGGCAAAAUUAUUGAUUAUGUCAAACUUCUACGUUUUUUUUCAUGAUUUUAAUAUUACCUUUUUAGAAAAAACGUUUUUACGUGAAAUGAGGGGUGUGUUAAAGCAGUGUUUUUCAACCAGUGUGCCGUGGGACACUAGUAUGCAGUGAGAGAUGUUCAGGUGUGCAGUGGGAAAUUAUUAAUUCUCACUGAUCUAAAAACAUUUAAUCACCAGGAGAUCAGCUCUGUUAUCAUCCAAACAGGCCCUGAUAAAACACUGAAUAGAAUAUGAAAGAACAUAAAAUAAUUGUUUUCUUUGUGUUGAUUUGAUUCCAUCCAUCCAUCCAUUUUCUUGACCGCUUCUUCCC